UACGGGGGGGGCAAGCGUUGUUCGGAAUUACUGGGCGUAAAGGGCUCGUAGGCGGCCAACUAAGUCGGACGUGAAAUCCCUCGGCUUAACCGGGGAACUGCGUCCGAUACUGGAUGGCUUGAGUUUGGGAGAGGGAUGCGGAAUUCCAGGUGUAGCGGUGAAAUGCGUAGAGAUGCGGAGGAACACCGAUGGCGAAGGCAGCCCCCUGGGCUGACACUGACGCUCAGGCACGAAAGCGUGGGGAGCAAACAGG
rnacentral:rRNA from 1 species